UACGUAGGGUGCGAGCGUUAAUCGGAAUUACUGGGCGUAAAGCGUGCGCAGGCGGUUGUGUAAGACAGAUGUGAAAUCCCGGGCUCAACCUGGGAACUGCAUUUGUGACUGCACGGCUCGAGUGCGGCAGAGGGGAUGGAAGUUCCGCGUGUAGCAGUGAAAUGCGUAGAUAUGCGGAGGAACACCGAUGGCGAAGGCAAUCCCCUGGGCCUGCACUGACGCUGAGGAGCGAAAGCGUGGGGAGCAAACAGG
rnacentral:rRNA from 1 species